rnacentral:misc_RNA from 1 species
UUGCGUCAUUCAAGAUACAGAUCAAGCACUGGUUUCUCCAUCCCAGAAGGAAGUUUUCUUCCCGGUCUUAGAAACAGUCUGCAGAACCGCCUCAGGUUUUACGUUACCUUUCACAGUAACCUUCUGUUCCUUCAGAUCAACAUCGAAUGUCUCAACACCUUCCAUUUUGGUAAGAACUCUCUUAACAGCCCCAACACAACCUUCGCAGGACAUAGCGACCUUGAGGACAACUGUCUCAGCCAUGGCGACGAAGAUCAAAAUACAAUCUCG